GCUUGGGGCAGUAUAAAAACUCAGAGAAAUCAGUGUGUAGGAGACACAGAAAUCAGUGUCACUCAGUGACAGAAGCAACAAUAAUUGUGAAAAAUACUUCAGCAGUUAUGGACUCAUCUGUCAUUCAAAGGAAAAAAGUAGCUGUCAUUGGUGGUGGCUUGUGUUUACAGGUAUGAUUAAAGUGAUCAGAGCAAAAAGGCACCAUUUCAGUGACAGCUAAAGCUACUCAAGACAUCAUUUUUUGACUGAAGCCAAGAGCCUUGGUUGGCUCAUUACAAGCAUGCUUUCUUGCAAAGAGGAAUUUCCAGAUUGAUGUAUAUGAAGCUAGGGAAGAUAGUCGAGUGGCUACCUUCACACGUGGAAGAAGCAUUAACUUAGCCCUUUCUCAUAGAGGACGACAAGCCUUGAAAGCUGUUGGCCUGGAAGAUCAGAUUGUAUCCCAAGGUAUUCCCAUGAGAGCAAGAAUGAUCCACUCUCUUUCAGGAAAAAAGUCUGCAAUUCCCUAUGGGACAAAUUCUCAGUAUAUUCUUUCUGUAAGCAGAGAAAAUCUAAACAAGGAUCUAUUGACUGCUGCUGAGAAAUACCCCAAUGUGAAAAUGCACUUUAACCACAGGCUGUUGAAAUGUAAUCCAGAGGAAGGAAUGAUCACAGUGCUUGGAUCUGACAAAGUUCCCAAAGAUGUCACUUGUGACCUCAUUGUAGGAUGUGAUGGAGCCUAUUCAACUGUCAGAUCUCACCUGAUGAAGAAACCUCGCU
rnacentral:sRNA from 1 species